GGGCGCGUAGCUCAAUGGAUAGAGCAUCAGCCUUCGAAGCUGCAGGCUACAGGUUCGAGUCCUGUCGCGCCCACCA
rnacentral:tRNA from 1 species